GUAUUCACAGGUUCAGACUUCAGCCGGAUUAUCUUGUUUUUCCAAAGGAAGAUAACGAAUUGCGUCUUGUACCUGCAUAUCUUGUUUUUGACCUAUCAAUCGAACACAGGAUACUUGAUCAGAGUUCUUGCGACGCUUGAAGCUACUACCCCUGUUGAAUCGAUUGAAAACAACCAAGAACUUACAUGCGACAAAAGGGAUUCUGUUUGUCAGUCGUCUAUUUCAUCUGGAUUUGAUUCCUCAUUCUUUGCAUUUGAGUUGUAACUGGAUCACGAUUCACAAUAGCUUUGUUUUGAAUGUUACGAGCUCGAUUGGCAUACUUCAAUGUGUUAAGUGCUUCUUCUGCAUUUGUGUCUGCUGGACUUACACUAGCUGGUGGAUUAUAAUUCAUUGAUCUAGAAGAUACAUCAUCCUUCUUAGUGGAUCUUUUUACUCGGUGAACCAACACCAUACAGUGGUGACAGAUUUGUAAAUCUCGAGAGAAGAAAUUUGUUUUACACUGUAUUUAGAAUCUGGUUGAUUUCAAUUUAGUCACUCACUGUUUUAAUCUGUUUUGAUGAUGCAAAUGUGCAGGCUGAAACCCAAGAUGAUCCAACGCAGAGCUUACAACAGGUAAGCCCAAUGUUUGCAGUUGUCCAUAAGAUUGAUUGCCCAAAUGUUGAAGCUCCUGCUUUUGAUGUUGUUGUUUAAGAAACAAAUAUUCAUCCAAUUUGACAGCUGUUGCGUAGCAAUUAUUUUUGAUUUUGAACAGCUGAAGAAAGAAAAGGGUGGCCUAUGUUGUUGAUCUUGAUACAGAAACACAGAAACAGUUGAUGUAGCUUCCCAAUAAUGGGUCACCAAGAUCUCCAUACAUCCCUUUGUUUAGUUCUUUAUAGCAGUCAUUAGCUUCGUGCCUAUCAGGUAGAUAAGCAGCUGUCAGUUGCAGAAAUCACCAACACUCUAUUUGAGCCAUCGUCUAUGAUGAAUUUCACAGUUUGUGCAGUUGGUACAGAAACAUCACCAGUUUUUUUGAUCUUAAACAAUUGGAAUGUUAUUGUUUGUUGGAUUUAGGAGGUUCAAAAUCACAAUUUGGUUGCUGUUAAUAUUUAUGUUUUGUG